CAGUAGCCGCGGUAAUACAGAGGGUGCGAGCGUUAAUCGGAUUUACUGGGCGUAAAGCGUGCGUAGGCGGCUUUUUAAGUCGGAUGCGAAAUCCCCGAGCUUAACUUGGGAAUUGCAUUCGAUACUGGGAAGCUAGAGUAUGGGAGAGGAUGGUAGAAUUCCAGGUGUAGCGGUGAAAUGCGUAGAGAUCUGGAGGAAUACCGAUGGCGAAGGCAGCCAUCUGGCCUAAUACUGACGCUGAGGUACGAAAGCAUGGGGAGCAAACAGGAUUAGAUACCCCUGUAGUCCCUGUCUCUUAUAC
rnacentral:rRNA from 1 species